rnacentral:rRNA from 1 species
GGCCAAGUUUUUAAGGGCGCACGGUGGAUGCCUUGGUACCAGGAACCGAUGAAGGACGUGGGAGGCCGCGAUAGGCCCCGGGGAGCUGUCAACCGAGCUUUGAUCCGGGGGUGUCCGAAUGGGGAAACCCGGCAGUCGUCAUGGGCUGUCACCCGCUGCUGAAUGUAUAGGCAGUGUGGAGGGAACGCGGGGAAGUGAAACAUCUCAGUACCCGCAGGAAGAGAAAACAACCGUGAUUCCGGGAGUAGUGGCGAGCGAAACCGGAUGAGGCCAAACCGUAUGUGUGUGAUACCCGGCAGGGGUUGCAUGUACGGGGUUGUGGGAUUGUUCUUUCAUGGUCUGCCGGCCGUGAGGUGAGUCAGAAACCGUUGGUGUAGGCGAAGGACAUGCGAAAGGUCCGGCGUAGAGGGUAAGACCCCCGUAGCUGAAACAUUGACGGCUCACUUGAAUUAUUCCCAAGUAGCACGGGGCCCGAGAAAUCCUGUGUGAAUCUGGCGGGACCACCCGUUAAGCCUAAAUAUUCCCUGGUGACCGAUAGCGGAUAGUACCGUGAGGGAAUGGUGAAAAGUACCGCGGGAGCGGAGUGAAAUAGUACCUGAAACCGUGUGCCUACAAGCCGUGGGAGCGUCGGACAUCAGCUUGCUGGUGUCUCGUGACUGCGUGCCUUUUGAAGAAUGAGCCUGCGAGUUUGCGGUGUGUUGCGAGGUUAACCCGUGUGGGGAAGCCGUAGCGAAAGCGAGUCCGAACAGGGCGCUGUAGUAGCACGCUCAAGACCCGAAGCGGAGUGAUCUAGCCAUGGGCAGGUUGAAGCGGCUGUAAGAGGUCGUGGAGGACCGAACCCACCAGGGUUGAAAACCUGGGGGAUGACCUGUGGUUAGGGGUGAAAGGCCAAUCAAACUCCGUGAUAGCUGGUUCUCCCCGAAAUGCAUUUAGGUGCAGCGUCGUGUGUUUCUUGCCGGAGGUAGAGCACUGGAUAGGCGAUGGGCCUUACCGGGUUACUGACCUUAGCCAAACUCCGAAUGCCGGUAAGUGAGAGCACGGCAGUGAGACUGUGGGGGAUAAGCUCCAUGGUCGAGAGGGAAACAGCCCAGAGCAUCGACUAAGGCCCCUAAGCGUACGCUAAGUGGGAAAGGAUGUGGAGUCGCAGAGACAACCAGGAGGUUGGCUUAGAAGCAGCCACCCUUGAAAGAGUGCGUAAUAGCUCACUGGUCUAGUGAUUCCGCGCCGACAAUGUAGCGGGGCUCAAGCGUACCGCCGAAGUCGUGUCAUUGCAGCAAUACUCCCAACGGAGGCUGUGAUGGGUAGGGGAGCGUCGUGUGCCGGGUGAAGCUGCCGCGUAAGCGAGUGGUGGACGGUUCACGAGUGAGAAUGCAGGCAUGAGUAGCGAUUCACACGUGAGAAACGUGUGCGCCGAUUGACU